rnacentral:rRNA from 1 species
UACAGAGGGGGCAAGCGUUGUUCGGAAUUACUGGGCGUAAAGGGCGCGUAGGCGGCCACCGCAAGUCGAUUGUGAAAUCUCCGGGCUUAACCCGGAAAGGUCAACCGAUACUGCGGGGCUAGAGUGCAGAAGGGGCAACUGGAAUUCUCGGUGUAGCGGUGAAAUGCGUAGAUAUCGAGAGGAACACCUGCGGCGAAGGCGGGUUGCUGGGCUGACACUGACGCUGAAGUGCGAAAGCUAGGGGAGCGAACGGG